rnacentral:ncRNA from 1 species
ACGACGCCGGUUAGGUUGUGGAGGCCAUCUGCGGCGUCGUGAGGGAAACCGGUGAGACUCCGGUGCGGUCGCGCCACUGUGAACCAGCCCCACCCACGGGGCCGGUGAGUCAGGACGCUCACACGACCGCAGCCUGUUCA